UGUGGUGGGCUCCACCCAGUUCAAGCUUCCCAGGCUGCUUUGUUUACCUAAUCAAGCCUGGGUAAUGGCGGGCGCCCCUCCCCCAGCCUGGCUGCCGCCUCGCAGUUUGAUCUCAGACUGCUGUGCUAGCAAUCAGUGAGACUCCGUGGGCGUAGGACCCUCCGAGCCAGGUGUGGGAUAUAAUCUCGUGGUGCGCGGUUUUUUAAGCCCGUCGGAAAAGCGCAGUAUUCAGGUGGGAGUGACCCGAUUUUCCAGGUGCCGUCCGUCACCCCUUUCUUUGACUCAGAAAGGGAACUCCCUGACCCCUGGCGCUUCCCAAGUGAGGCAGUGCCUCGCCCUGCUUCGGCUCGCGCACGGUGCGCGCACCCACUGACCUGUGCCCACUGUCUGGCACUCCCUAGUGAGAUGAACCCGGUACCUCUGAUGGAAAUGGAGAAAUCACCCGUCUUCUGCGUUGCUCACGCUGGGAGCUGUAGACCGGAGCUGUUCCUAUUCGGCCAUCUUGCCAUUUUUCCUUUUUAUUUUGGGUCAUGCAAAGCGCCUACUCCCUUCUGAGAUGACUCCAGACAUUUUCGGGAUUCGUUGAGGGGUGAAGAACAGAUUGGAGGCAGGAGAAAUGACUAAGCACACAGUCUGCUUGUUUGAUUGAGCCUGAGUGACAAAAAGCAUAAACGAACCAAGUAUCCCUUCUAGGUAUAAUCAAUUAGGUUGGUAAAGCCUGAAGGAGGCUCUCCAGUGAUGCUGCCACCUCCCAGGAGGGAUACCAUGUUGAUGUCUCAGAAGUAAUGUGAGCUGGUGGAGAGAUCCCUGAUGCUAUUACUAACCAGCCACACUAUCUUGAACAAGUCACUUCAUCUUUUUGUGCUUUACCUAAUGCUAGCAAGAGCUUGUACUUAUUGAAUUCUUAUUAUGAUCUAGCCUCUGGAUUAUUACAUUUGUUACUUGCAUGAGCUGACUUUCAUGAGCUCAUGGCAAUACUCCUAUAAAUGCACGUGCUAUGAUAUUUUGCCUAUUUUUUUACAGAUGGGGAAAGGGUGGCUUAGAGAAACCAAAUAUGACUUGCUCAACAAAUAACUUCUAAGGAAUAACAUGGAAUCAGGUUCAAAUCUUCUUGGCCCCCAAGUCCAUGCUCCUAACCACAUGUGAAGAUUUCAUCUUCAUCUGUGGAAAUGGGGAUAACAAAGACAUGCGCAACCCCCAUAGCUGGGCUCUUGGGGGCUCAGUGAGAUAAUUUAUGGUCAACAUAGUGUCCAAAAUCCAGGAUUCCUGUCCCAGAACAAGGGUCUGGGGCUUAUUCUUAUUCAGUUUAGCCACCGAGUACUGGUAAGGGGAUCCUCACUGCCUUUCCCCUGCCGGUCCCGGGGAUCCCUCUUUAGGUUUGUAAGUGUUCUGGGGUACUAGGCUUGGAAAUGUUCUAGUUGCCGUGUAAAGUCAUCACUCCUGGUGGGCAGUCAAUAGACAAAUCACUUCAUACACCUGAAAAAUACUUAGGCUUUUUCUCAGGCCAGAGCCUUUCCUUCUCCCCAGACUCCCAGAGCCCCAGCUGAUCAUCAAAUAAACUUGCUCCUCCUCAGUAAUUCCCUCACCAAACUCUAUUUUUUCACAUGAAUUUUCUCCACCUCUAAAACCGUCUAUUUUCAUUUGCUUUUAUAAAAGGCCUUGUUUUGCCAUUAAACUCAGAGUUAGAACUAGUAUCAGGCUAAAAACUGGUUUUAUUUCUUUGAAGUUAAGAAAAGCUUAAGCUUCAAACAUUCUUAGGAAGUGUGGGGAAAAUAUAUAUGUAUACAUUCUAACUUUCUAAUGCAGCACAGAAUAGAUAUAUGAGCAAAAGUGUUGUUUUCAUAAUAAAGAAGGUUGAAUGCUCAUACCCUGUCACAUAAAUAACAGUGCUUUGAAAACUGCAAAGUCAUCCAGAAAUGUAAAGAAAUAUAAGAACAGUUGAAUCACCCCCCCAAGACUUGGUGAAUGUUACUGAAGUAUUCUCAUUUAGUGGUAGUUUCCAAAUUUCUUUGUCCAUGUGAACCACAGAAAUUGUGUUAGGCAGAUAACAGGCACACACAUCUUGUGAUUAACUAGAGGAGUCCUUAAUAAUGACGUGU
rnacentral:lncRNA from 1 species